AGGAAAGAAAGGUUUUCAGGGAAGCGGUAGACAAGUUCCUUCAGCUCAACACGAAGUCACUGGCCCGGCCUGGCACCCACAGGUAAAGAAUACCAGGGAAAGAGAGAGGAACCCUCGCGAACCCAUCCUGCUCCUGCUCACUGGGUCAUUAGAAGCACAAUGAAUCUGGCAAAGGGUCUGCUCUAAAGCAGCUUGAACAAUGAUCCCCCAUCCCUUAGAGUGAGAAGACACUCUGCUUCUCAUCUGAUGUCCUGACCCGACAAACUGGACCAGACAGAGGUGUGUGUAUUGCAGGGGUGGGGAGCAGUUUAAGAAGGGAUGGGGGAACCCCUGACAGUAAAUUGGGAAGGGAAGG